CCCCUAAGUAAAAGCUCAACACUUUUAAGUCCUCUUUGGAUUCUGGAGUGACAUAUUUAAUACUCAGAAAUUUGCUUCAUCCCAUUCACCAAUGUGACACAGAAAGACUAUGAGCUUUGAUUAAGACCCAGGUCAGAAAGGCUCUGUAGCCUGAAUGGCUGAUAUAUGGGCCUGCAGUACUGCAACACUAAUGGUAUUUAAUAGUUAUCUAUGAUGGGAAAAGAUAUUUGAAGUUUUUGAUUAGUCCCAGUAGGCAAAUUUUAAAGUGGACUUCUAAUAUUUUAGAGUAAGGCUAUAACAUCUGCAGUAAACUGCUAGAAAUCAAGAUAGCAUUUGCAAAAUAAGUCUUGCUAUGCUCCUGGGACCUGAUAGAGGAAAAUCAUGGGAUGUCAACUGAUUAUGGAGCCAAGACUGCCCAUCCUGAGCUGGGUCUUUUUGACCCAUCAAGCCAUAAAGUCAAGCUGAACUAAGACGGAAGGGCACAUAGCAGGUUGUUCUAGAGUAGAGAGGCUGCCGAGAACAAAAUAGUUGAGCCACUGCCCUGAUGGUGGUUACAUUCCAGUGAGGAAGACACACGGGUCACACAGCUGCUACGAAGAACAAAAGGCAGAAAAGUGGAGGAAGGACUAAAUGGUUCACGCUUCCUGUCUUGAAAGACAGGAAGUCUUCCUAGAAGACUCCUGCCUACAUUUCAGUAGCCCAAACUCAUCACCACAUUGCUAAACCUACUUGCAAGUUGAGCAGCAGCAGCCAUUUGGAACCAAGAAGAUAACCUUGAGGAUAAGAUCCACAUUCUGAGAUGAUGGAGCCAAAGGGCCACACUACUAAGAGAAUCUGCAGGCUUCUAAAGUGCUGUCAGACUCUGAGACCUCAUGGACUGCAGCCCACCAGGCUCCUCUCUCCAUGGGAAUUCUCCAGGCAGGAAUACUCGGUUGGGUUCCCAUGCCCUCCUCCAGAGGAUCUUCCCAAUCCAGGGAUCGAACCCAGGUCUCUGACAUUGCAGAUGUAAAAUCAACACAGGCCAAGAUUUUGAUGAGGGAACCAAGAAGAUACCACAACUGGUUAAAAACAGAAUGCAAGGUGCCACAUAAUUGGAGUCAGCUCGGUGUCUUUUCUCUUUGAUGCCCAUUUGGAAAGAAAUUUAAAACUAAUUAUAAUUGAUGAGUCUAUUUUGUUUGUGCUUCAAAGAACUAACAGGAGCAGAGCCCAAAGAGGAAGAAUGUUACUGGGAUGAUUCCACAU
ensembl:lncRNA